GCAUUGUCUAGCUACCAAAUUCCUUGAUCCCGUUUCUAGUUUUAAAUUCUUAGGGGAAAAAACUAGAUAGUGAAGAUUGAGAGAAGAACCAAUCAACUUUAAAAGAAAUAUCAACAGAAAACAACAAUUAGGGGAUUAAAUUAAGGCUUUUAAAGAGGAAAGAUCAUGUUAUAAUUUCGUUCAAAAGUAGGGAAUAAAGGAUAUUUUACUCCCCGUUUUUCCAAGCGACUAGCUAGACAUUGGCAUAAAAAGG
rnacentral:lncRNA from 1 species